UUACGGCCAUAUCACAUUGAAACAUUGGUUCCCGUACGAUCACCGAAGUUAAGCAAUGUCGAGCCUGGAUGGGUGACUAAUUGAGAAUACUAGGUGCUGUAAG